GGUAUUGGGCCGAGUAAAUGUAUAGGUAGUGUGCGCAUCCUGGUGUGCCCUGCUAUGAAUGGGCGUCAAGUGGCGUCAUUUGAAAAAGAAAGAAAGGGCCUGUGAGGAGAUGCCCAGAGACAGAUGCUUAAGGGGGAGGCAUGAGAGGAAGGAGGUCUGCUGUCUGCUCAGCAAGAACAAGAAGCCAUCAGUUCAACAUGAGCCUCAUCCAAACAGUCCGCUCGGUUUGGGAGGCGGUGAAAAGUCAGCCAUCAGCGUAUCGGCGUCGUUCAUCACACGCACCAUCAAGUGACACCAAAGCCUGCAAAGACUGAUGAAACAACGAGAGCUGCGGUAGAGGCGUCAGAAGGCAGCACAUCAACGCAAAAUAAGACGUUGACGGGCGCAUCCUUCGAAAGUUGGCCAGCACCCGGCUGCACAUCCGGCUGCGCUGGCUUAACCGCCAGAAGGACAGGGACGCGGCGCAGAGACGCCGUGACAAGCAGCUGUGCCAGCAUGCCGCGAGUCGCUAAUAAUGUUAAGAAGUGUUCGUGCCGCUGCUUCGAAUAGCAACACCGAUUAGGCUUUUUGGUUAGUGCCCGUGUUUGUGCUGUGUAGAAUAAGGACACCGCCCCAAGAGCUGAUGCCUGCUAGCGUGCACUUGUAUACUUGUAUAUACUAUGAUACUGUGAUACUUGUGUGCGAGUGUUUGUUUAACGUGAGUGUUUGAGUGUAUGG